UUAAUUCCUCCUUUCUUCACCAGAAAGGCUCUCAAGUUCCAUCCUCAGUUAUGCCAUGGAAAUGCUUAAAAAUAUAAAGCUGAUUUGUUUACAAAUUGACUUUCUCCUCUUCAAAAUGCCACAGCUAAACAUUUUCACUUUGAAACCAAUGGUCACAUACACAUUUUUCUCCUGAAAUUCUGGCGCAGUUUUUGUCUUCAUGAUAUUGUGCUAACUGGCUGGCCCUGAGGUCACUGAACUCAUUUUCCUCAACGUCCAAAAUCAAGAUGAGAACAAAAUAUACUCUAGUGUCUUUGUGGGCAAAGGAUAAAGACAGAUACGAUAAGAAAUCUCUGUAACCGAGUCGUUAUUUCGAUGAUGUUUGACAUGACUCCAUUCCAACUUCAGUUUCUAUCACAGCCAGGUGAUGGGCAUUGUCCACUCCUGAGGAAGGGGUAAAUCCACACGGAACGUAUCCUAUCAUCUCAUACCGGGACUCAGUAGUAGCAGUAUGGCAGCCCCUACAGGGCCCACUUGUUGGCUGAUGCAGCACUUUUUGAAGUGGUGGGAGAGGCAACGUCCUAACCUUCCAGCUAAGGGCAACAGCACAGCCUGGGUGAGGUGCUGGAAGCGAGCACCCAGAAGCAAAAGAAAGGGUGAAGCACGUUCCUGUUCAAGUUGACUUAAAGAAUGAGUUAACCAUCAUACAAAAUUAUUGUUCGUUGGUAGCAACUCAAAUGGAGAGUCUCCUAUUUAUAAACGAUUAUGAAUUUUCACCGGACACAAACUCAGGUGUAAGGACACUUCCUUUGGUUUCCUAUAAUGGAACUUAAUUUCUAUCUGAUGUCUCUCUUCUACUCGGCUGCAGAAAAUUUAAUCUUGCCAAUCCAAGGUAAAUGUAGUCACCUAAGAAUUUUUUCAGACCUAUCUCCCUCCCCAGGGAGGGUUCAUUUUGUCCAUGUGGAGAUGGUGAGACAUUUGGGCAUUGGUGAAAACAGAUCACCUAGUUGUUGGUCGUGGUUAUUUUCUAGGACAGCAUUAUCUGAAAGUAAUAGAUCUUUUUGCAGUCCCUGCCAACAUGGUCCACAGCGCAUCCGUCGCAACGCCAUCCCCCUUCUCACCUAGGAUCCUACACAUCCACAAGUGUGUGUGAACUACCGAGAGCGGUAGCCUUCUUUCCCUCAACUUAUCUGCGCCCUCUAUUGAUUGCACAGGGAAGGUGGGCUGCCCACCUGCACCUCUAGUAGUUUUCUCAGUCUACCACUGCAUUCUUUCACUGCUCCCUUUCCAUUGUAGUACAAAGGACAUUAGAGAGAAUACAGACUACAGUGCCUCCUGGUAGGAGAGUGCAAAUGCUCACCUCCACCCUCUGGAGACUCUGAUUCUAUCAAGGUUCAGCCCACACAGAGGACACAGGGAUAACUACAUGUAUAUUAGCUUCCAGCUUUCUGUCUUCUCCUUCACCCAGCAUUUUUAUUAGAACGGGACAAGAAAGGGGCACCCGGGUGGCUUAGACGUUUAAGCGUCUGAC